UUUGCAUGUGUGGCUUUGCAGGGUGGUGGUGCCGUACUCGGGUUUCUUCCUUUCUGUCCAAGGGGAUUGUAGCAAAAACAGUGAACAUUUCUGGGAUUCCUCUUCAUUCAAAUAACUAAACAGCUCUCAAACUGAAUGCUAGGAAGGUCUUCUCUGAAAGGUCCUAAGGUAAUAUUAUAUGCAGAGUCCUAAAAUUGUCUUCAAACAACCCCAGAGUAUGACAACAUUUUCUUGGUUUGUGUUUCUGUGAUAUAUGUUGCUGUUCUGGAAGGCGUGUGAAUCCAUCAUUCAGCAACAAAGACCAACAGUGAGUGUACACAUGGAUACCUAACAGCCUAGAUGAAACGUUUGCCAUACUCAGCAGCAAACUUCUCUGUACUUUAAUCUUCAAAACACUCACCACAACUUAAACUCUUUUAUCAGAGUUGCAGGGCAUCAAGUUUCUAUUACCAUAGUAUUUUGAAUACUGUGAAAAAUAGAGACUUAUGCAUUCUUUUUUUAAUUCAUAGAAUAUUUAUUGAUUAGUAGAGCACAUCAUUAUGCAAGUGAGAUACAAAAAUAAAACAUGAACUUUGGGUCCAAGAAAUUACUAAUUGAUUUUAUUUUUUAUUUUAAUAAAAAAAUGAAACAAAAAUUCAAACUAAGAUUGUUGGAGAGUAACAAUGGUUAGUACAUUGUGUAUUAUUAUUUUUGAGAUAGUUGCUCCCAUUAUAAGCUAUAGGCAUGAAAAAUUGAUCAAACAAUUUAGGCACACACCUUUCUUUUCAUUGAACUAAUCUCAAUUAGUAAUAUAACUAUCUUAACUGUUGUGAGUGUGUGUUUAUUUAUUUUUCCUUUUCCUUUCUCCUUUUCUCCUUUCCCCCAUCCCAGUUUCUCUUUCCUUUUGAACAGCUUUCUUCCACUUCACAGUAUCUAUUGUACAUUUUGGAUUCUGUUUACUUUUUCAGUUUCUUACACCAAUACAAUGUUUACACAUGCAAGUCUGAUUUAUUUCACUUAUGAAUAUGGUCUCAAGUUCCAUCCAUUUACCUAUAAAUGUCUCAAGUUUAUCAUUCUUUAUAGCUGAGAAAUACUCCAUUGUAUAAACAUACCACAUCUUUUUUAUCCAUUCCUUAGUUGAUGAGCAUUUAGAUUGUUUCCAAGAUUUAGCUAUUACAAAUUGUGCUACUACAAACAUGGUGCACAUAUAUCUCUGUGCUAUGUUUUUCAUUCAUCUGGGAAAAUACCCUAAAGGGUAAUAGCUAAGUUGAAUGGGAUCUCUAAUCUCAGUUUUUUGAGCAAUCUUCACACUGAAUUUUACAGUGGUUGCACCAGUCUACACUCCCACCAACAGUGGAAAAGCAUUCCUUUUUCCCCACAUCUCCUCCAGCAUUUGUUAUUGGUGAUUUCUUGAUUAUAGCCAUUCUUAGUGGGGUGAGAUGGUAUCUCAGUGUUGUUUUAAUUUGCAUGUCUCAGAUGACCAAUGAUGUUGAACAUUUUUUCAUAUAUUUAUUUUCCACUCGUAUUUCUUCAUCAAAAAAGUGUAUAUUCAUCUCAGCUUCCCAUUUUGGACUGAGUCUUUGAAUUUGGGGAGUCUGAUUUUUUUUUUCAUUUCUUUUAGGUUCUAGAUAGAAGUCCUUUGUCUGAGGGACAGUUGGCUAAAAUUUUUUCCCAUUCUGUGGAUUGUGUUUUUACUCUGCUAAUGAUGUAUUUUGAUGUGCAAAAGCUUUUUAAUAAAAUGAGAUUCCACUUCACUAUUGGAAGUGUUUCCCAUGCUGUUUGGGUUUUGUUCAUGAAGUCUCUGCCUACCUCUAUAUCUUCGGGAUUUUUACCUACUUUCUGUUCCAGUAGACUUAGUGUUUCUGUUUUAGUAUUUAGCUCUUUGAUCCAUUUUGACUUUAGUGUAUGGUGAUAGACAUGAGUCUAGUUUUAGUCUUUAGUCUUCAGCAAGCAGAGAGCCAGUUUUUCCAGCACCAUUUAGUGAAGAAGCUGUCUUUCUUCCAGUGAACAUGUUUGGUCCAUGUGUCAAAGAUAAAAUGACUUGAGUGUCUUUGUAGUUGUUUCUGCAUCUUCUAGCCUGUUCCACUGGUCUUUAGGUCUGUUUCUUUGCCAUUACCAUGCUGAUUUUUAUCACAGUACCUUCAUAAUUUCGAGUCAGGGAUUGUGAUGCUUCUACCUUGCCUUUGUUGUCCAGAAUUGCCUUUGCUAUUCUAGGUCUCUGUUGCUUCCAGAUGAGUUUUAGGAAAUUUUUUUCCAAUUUUGUGGGGUAUUUUGAUUGGGAUUGCAUUGAAUCUGUAUAAUAAUUUGGGGAAUAUGGCUAUUUUCUCUGUGUUGCUUCUUUCUAUCCAUGAGCAAAGGAUAGCUUUCCAUUUUCUGAUAUCCUCUUUGAUCUUUUUCAAAGUACUUUAAUUUUCAGUAUAUAAAUCCUUUACUUCCUUUAUUAGAUUGACUCCAAGUAUUUCAUCUUAUUGGAGGCUAUUGUGAAAGGUAUAGUUUCCCUAAUUUCUCUCUCAGUGAGUUUCUUGUUUGUGUACAGGAAUGCUCUUAAUUUUUGAGUAUUGACUUUGUUUCCAACUAUACUACUGAAUUUGGUUAUUAGGAGUCAAAUUAGGUUAUUUGGCUAGGAGUGUUUUGGUGGAGUUUUUGGGGUCUUCUGUGUUGAGUAACCUGUCAUCUGUGAAUAAUGAUAGUUGAACUUCUUCCUUUCCUAUCUUUAUUCCUUUUAUUUUUGUCUCUUGUCUAUUUAUUCUGGUUCAUGUUUCCUGAAUUAUAUUGAGUAGGAGCAGUGAUAAUGGACAUCCUUGUCUUGUUCCUGAUUUUAGUUUGAAAGCUUUCAAUUUUUGUCCAUUUAGUAUGAAAUUCACUGUAAUAUAGGCUAAGGUAAAGAUCCUCCUUUCUGAUUUUCUAUAGGGUUUUCAUCAUUAAUGAGUGCUAGACCUUAUCAAAAGCUUUUUCUGCAUUUAUUGAGAUGAUCAUGUGAUUUUUGCCUUUGGCUGUAUUGAUAUAAUGUAUUACAUUUAUUGAUUUGCAUAUGUUGAACCAACCCUGCAUUCCUGGGAUGAAUCCCACUUAGUCAUGGUAUAUAAUCUUCUUCAUGACUUGCUGCAUUUUAUUUGCUAGCAUCUUAUUGAGGAUUUUUUGCACCUGUGUUCAUUAGGGGUAUUGUCCUGUCGUUCUCUUUUUUUAGUUGGGUCCUUCUGGUUUCGAUAUCAGGAGACUUACGCAUUCUAGCAUCUUCUUUAAUUGUCUCAACUACGUAAUGAAGGCCUUCCAAGGCUGGAAAUUGCUUAGCUUUUUGAAAUCUUCUACAAUGUAUACCAUUUGAUUACAUUAGAAGAUAAUGUUUCCUUCUCUCUGUUCAUAGUACAGCCUAUUUUCAAGAAAUUAUGGGCAAGUAAAAGUAUGUGCACAUUCAUAAAGAUAUUUAUAAAGGUCCUGCUUAGAAUCAGUAUGUUAGGAUGUUAUGGGGGUUUUUGAGAUCUUCAUUAAUAGCAACCAAUGAAAGAGUACUCUCUAUGUUGCUGUGGGUAAGUUUUUAAGGAGAUACAAAAUAUAAUUAUUUUUUGAGUUAUUUUAGUAUAAGAAAUAUAAAUAAUUAUUUUAUAUAGAAAUAAAUGAGUAGUGACUACAGUCAGCCAUAAGAGCCAAAUGAAUGACAGAAACAAAAAUAUUCAUAAGCAAGGACAUAAUCUCUGAGUAGGAGAACCCAGAAAAGGGAAAUACUCAUGUUAUUCUUAUUUUUGUGCUCCCUGCCCUAGGCUUGACAUUGAGAAGUACUCAGAAAAUAAUUACAGAAGAACAAGAGCAGGGUGGCAGACACCAGAGGCCCCAGUUCCCUGCUGUACCCUUCAGCACUGAUCCACCAGGAAGUGCUUGGCAGAGCGUAAGCCUGUUGAUUCACUGAUCGUCUUACUAUUACCCACUUAUUUAGGCCAGGAAGCCCGGGCAGCAUAAACAUACUGAUAGAAUUAUUUACGGUUCUCCCAUUACUAAUACCAACUGUAUUUCUUUAAAUAAAAAAUAGUGAAGCAGCAACUGAAUAGCAUAUUUUAAAUGUAAGAAAUAUGUCAAUGUCCACCAUCAGUCUUUUGUUUUGUUUUGUUUUGUUUUGUUUGUUUUUCACGUUGCUGGGAAUAGAACCUAGGGCCUCACGCCUGCUGUCCAUGCUGCCACUGUCACUCUUGAGAGCAGGUGUCUGAAAUUCGUCCUCUCUAUUAAUGAGUCACAGGGAGGGAGGGAGGUGUAAAAAGAUAGUAUAAAAGAAGACAGAUGUACAAACUGGUGCAAAUGAAAAACUAUCGUUUCAGUAAGGAGGACUCUCUGCCCUUUUGGAGGGAAAUGUUGCUGGUCAUAAUCUUUUAAAACUAUUGAGUCUGACAUUUUUUUAAAAUAAACUGUAAGUGACAGUUUGAGGGGUCUAUCUGUUGAACACGUGAGCAUCUCUUUCAAGUGAACUGUUAAGAGAGAGAAGCAAUGUCGCCUUGCUGUCCUGUAACUGGCCCGUAGGCUCACUCCCUGACUAGCCUGCAUUCGCAGCGCUGCCUGAAUGCAAAGCUAACGCGCUGCCUUCUGCUUGGGACACUUCCUUUCGUUGCUCUUGGGGUAAAGAUCAGUGUCUUCACCAUGCAGGCCCUGCGUGUCCUGCCCGGGCCUUGAUUUCCAGCUCCUCUGACGGAGUAGCCGGCCGUCAUUUCUCUUUACUGGCUGUGUACCUCUCUACAGGAAGUCCCAAAUUUCUCCCUAAAACCUCUAUUCAUCCAGUACUCCAUGGCACUUCCAUUCUGCCCCUUUUACUCUUUAAAAUUUAUUGCGGCUGGGGUCGGGGAUUUAGCUCAGCAGCAUAAGCGCUCGCCUGGCAAGCGCAAGGUCAUGAGUUGGGUCCCUGGUACCCAAAAAAAAAAUUUAUUGUGGCUAUCAGUGAAAACUUUCCUUGUCCUCCCCUAAUCAAUACUGGUAUAACCCUUAAAACCUCAUAUACAAAUGUUAUAUUUACUUGAAGUUAUUUAAUUAAUGACUAAUAUUUUAGAAGAUCUUUCUGUGGAUCCUAUACAGUCAUUUUUAUUGGGAGUUUGGCCAGGUCCCCCAUCUCCUAAAAUGAGUGUAUGGCAAAGGUUUAAAUAGAAGAGACAGGUAAUAUGGUUUGUGAGUCCAGGAAGUCAGAACGCUCCUGGAGCUAAGACAGAGACUUCUCUGGACAUCCCGUGUUUAUUGGAUUUCAAACAGUGGUGGGGUGAGGGAGAGUGAAGGGACACCGAGCAAGGCCCUGUGAGACAAAGGAUCCAGACAUUCUGAGCAGUCACUCUGGCUCUCGCUAAUUGGGAGACCCAUUUUCCCUUUCCCUCUGAACUAGGGACUAAGAGCCAGUGUCCUGGCUGCCUCCGCUGUGGUUUCAUCAUCUCGUCUUCAGAGAACCAUGGUCCACAUCUUAACCCUGGCACAGCCAGGUGCCCAGCACAUCUUUAAAUUUCCAGACCCUCUGUUUUCAUUCAUCCAACUGUACCAGAGAUUAACCCAAGGCCUUGCACAUGCUAACCAGUGUGCUGCACUGAGAUACAUCCCCAGCCCUUUUUAUUUUGAGACAAGGUCUUGCUAAGUUGCCCAUGCUAGCCUCGAACUUGUAAUCCUUUUUCUCAACCUCUCAGGUAGCUAGAAUUUUGGGCAUGUGCCACCUCUCCUGGAUCAGCUGUGGUUUUUAGUUAUUUAUCAGAAUGUAUCUUUUUCUUUUGUAAAAUUUUAUUUAAAGUGAAAAAAAGCAAAACAGAAAAAAGGGUAGUAAUAAUACAGAACUUCAAAUAAAUAAACACUAAGAAUCACUAGUUGAUAAAUUAUAUACUGUCAUCUUAAAAAGGUAGUUGUUCAAGUUACAAAAGUAAAGCGUACAAAGUGGACAUUCAAACAGUGAGACUGCAAACAGUUCUGCUCAAUGACCCAACAAAAACUUAGUAAUAUGGUCAUCUAUCUUACACACUUAAACAUACAUGCAGUUAUAGCCUUUAGAUCACUUUCUUUUCCUCUUUUUUACAAUAGCAAUUACACAUUUUGGGUUUUAUUACUCCUACAGUUCUUAUUACUUUUUACAUUAGAGACACAAUGUGAUAUUUAUAAAUAUGAUUAUUUAUUUGACUUAUGAGAAUAGUCUCCAGUUGCCUCCAUUUACCUAUGAAGGCCUCAAGAUCAUCCUUUUUAUAGCUGAGUAAUAUUCCACUGUAUAAAAAUACCACAUCCUCUUCAUCCACUCUACAGUUCAUAGGCAUUUUGGUUGUUUCCAAGAUUUAACUAUUGGAAAUUAUGCUGCUAUGAACAUGGGGGUACGUAUAUCACUGUGACAUGACCUUUUCAGUUUUUCUGGGAAAAUACCCAGGAGGGGAAUACCUGGGUUGAAUGGAACUUCUGGUGCUAGUCUUCUGAAAAAUCUCCAUAUUGACUUCCAUAGUGGCUACACCAGUCUACACUCCCACUAACAGUGGAGUAGUGUUCCUCCCCCCCCCCCCCCGCAACCUCGCCAACAUUUGUUAUUAGUUGAUUUCUUGAUGGCAGCCAUUCUCUCCAGAGUGAGAUGAAAUCUCAGUGUUGUUUUAAUUUGCAUUUCUCGAAUGACCAGUGAUGGUGAACAUUUCUUCAUGUAUUUAUUUACCAUUUGUAUAUCUUCAUCUGAGAACUGUGUGUUCAUCUCAGAUGCCCAUUUUUGGAGAGGGUCUUUGAAUUUGGGGAGCUUGAUGUUUUUCAAUUCUUUAUAUGUUCUGGAUAUAAGUCCUUUGUCUGAGGGAUUACUGGCUAUAAUUCUUUCCCAUUCUUUGGAUUUUCUUUUCACUCUGUUGGUGAUUUCUUUUGAAGUGCUGAAACUUUUCAAUAAUAUGAGAUCCCAGUUGUUGAUUCUUUGAGGUGUUUCUUGUGCGGUUUACAUUUAGUUCAUGAAUUCUCUGCCUACCCCUAUGUCUCCAAGGCUUCUACCUACCUUGUUUUCCAGUAGAUUUAGUGUUUCUAUUUUAAUAUUUAGGUCUUUGAUCCAUUUAGCUUUUACUUUUGUGCAUGAUGAUAUGCUUAGAUCUAGUUUCAGUCUUCAGCAGUGGAAAGCCAAUUUUUCCAACACCAUUUAUCAAACAUGUUUCUUCCAGUGAACAUGUUUAGCCCCUUUGUCAAAUAUCAGGUGGCUGGGUGUCUUUGUAGCUGUGUUUGCAUCUUCUAAUCUGUUCCAUUGAUCUGCAGGUCUAUUUCUUUGCCAGUACCAUGCUGAUUUUAUCACUGUAGCUUUGUAGUAUAGUUUCAAGUCAGAAAUUGAGAUGCCUCCUUCCUUGCCUUUAUUGCCCAGAAUUGCUUUUGCUAUUCUAGGUUUCUUCUGUUUCUAAAUGAAUUUUAGGGGUGUUUUCUCUAGAUCUGAGAGGUAUGUUAAUGGUAUUUUGAUUGGAAUUGCAUUAAAUCUGUGUAAGAGUUUUGGGAGUAUGGCCAUUUUCAUAGUGUUGGUUCUUCCUAGCCAAGAACAAGGAAUAUCCUUCCAUUUUCUAAUAUCCUCUUCCAUAUCCUCUUCUAAUAUCCUCUCCUUUUUUAGCAUAGCAUAAUUUUCAGCAUAUAGGUCUUUUACAUUCUUAGUUAGGUUGAUUCCUAAGUAUUUCAUUUUUUUAGAUGCUAUUAUGAAAGGUGAUAUUACCAUAAUUUCUCUCUCGGUGAGUGUUUUAUUUGUGUACAGGAAUGCUAUUGAUUUUUGAGAAUUGAAUUUGUAUUCAGCGACACUGCUGAAUUUGUUUAUUACCUCUGGUAGUCUUUUAAUGGAUUUUUUGGGUCUUGUAUAUAGAAUAUCAUGUCAUCUGUAAAUAGUGAUAGUUAACUUCUUCCUUAGCUAUCUUUAUUCCUUUUAUUUCUCUCUCUUGUCUGAUUGCCCUGGCUAGUAUUUCCAGAACUAUGCUGAAUAGGAGUGGUGAUAGUGGGCAUCCUUGUCUUGUUCCUGAUUUAAAGUGAAAGCUUUCAGUUUUUGUCCAUUUAGUAUAAUGUUGGCUGUUGGUUUGUCAUAGAUGGCCUGUAUAAGAUUGAGGUAGACACCAUGUAGUCUAUGUUUCUGAAGGGAUUUUAUCAUGAACAUGUGUUGAACUUUAUCAAAAGCUUUUUCUUCAUCUAUUGAGAUGAUUAUAUGGUUUUGGGUUUUGGCUCUGUUGCUGUGGUGUAUUACAUUUAUUGCUUUGCAUAUGUAAACCAUCCUGCAUUCCUGGAAUGAAUCCUACUUGGUCAUGAUGAAUAGUUUUCUUGAUGAUUUGCUGCAUUCUAUUGCCAGUAUUUUAUUGAAAAUCUCUGCAUCAGUGUUCAUUAGUGAGGUUGACCUAUAGUUCUUUUUGGUUGGGUCUUUCUCUGGAUUUGUUAUCAGAGUAAUACUUGCCUCCAGGAAUGAUUUAUAGAGGAUGGCUUCCUUUUCAAUUUCAUUGAAGAGUUUAAGGAGUAUUGGCAUCGUAUCUUCUCUAAAUUUCUUAUAGAAUUCAGCCGUAAAUCCAUCAGGACCUGGGUGUUUCUUUGUUGGUAAGUUUUUAAUUAUGUUUUCAAUUUCAAUAGCUGAUAUUGGGUUAUUCAAAAUUGCUUUAUCUUCUUGGUUGAGUUUUGGUAGUUCAUAUGUUUCUAGAAAUCUGUCAAUUUCCUCUGUAUUUUCCACUGAAUGUGAGUAGAUAUUUUCAAAGUAGGUAUUCAUGUUCUUUUGAAUUUCCAUGGGGUCUGUAGUAAUUUCCCCUUUUCAGUCCUUGUUGCAUGAAUUUGGGUUUUUUCUUUCUUUAUAAGGUUAACUAGAGGUUUGUCAAUUUUGUUUAUUCUCUCAAAAAAAACAGCUUUUUGAUUCAUUAAUACUUUGUGGGGUUUUUUUAGUUUCAAUUACAUUGAUUUUAGCUCUAAUAUUUACAACUUCCUCUCUUCUGUGAGCUUUGGGUUUGACUUGCUCUUCUUUAUCUAGAAGCUUGAGAUGCAGCAUUAUUAGGUUGUUCAUUUGUGCUCAUUCUGUUUUCUUGAUAUGACAAUUUAUUGCUAUAUAUUUCCCUCUUAAGACCACUUUCAUUGCAUCCCACAGAUGGCAGUACAUUGUUUCUGCAUUUUCAUUGAAUUGUAGGUAUUGCUUUAUUUCUUCUUUAAUUUAAUCUGCAGCCCACUGGUUGUUUAAAAGGUUGUUAUUUAAUUUUCAUGAUUUAUACAGGUUUUGCAAUUUCUUUUGCCAUUAAUUUGCAAUUUCAGUGCACUAUGAUGAGAUAUUAUGCAUGGAUAAUUUAAAUACCUUUGCAGUUACUUAACAAUGUUUUGUGGGAUAAUAGAUGGUCUAUUUUGUAGAAUGUCCCAUGUGCAGCUGAGAAGAAUGUGUAUUCUGGUGUGGUUGGGUGAAAUACUCUGUAAACAUUGACUAAGUCCAAUUGCUCACAGGUAUGAUUGAGUUCUAUUAUUUCUUUGCUGACUUUUUGUCUAGUUGAUCUAUCUCUUUGUGACAAUGAGGUAUAAUUGUGUUCUUGUGUAUUUGGUUUUUCAUGUCCAUUAGUAUCUGUCUUAUAUAGUUGGGUGCUUCUGUAUUUGGUGCAUAUAUAUUUAUAAUUGUUAGUUCUUCUUGAAUUUUUCCACUAACAAGUAUGUAGUGACCUUCUUUAUCUCUUUUGAUCAUUUAGUUCACAUUAUGUGCAAAUAGAAUAGUUAUCCCUGCUUUUAUCUGGGUUCCCACUGUAUGGAAUACUGUUUUCCAUCCUUUGACUUUUAAUCUAUGAGUUUCAUUUUGGGUCAGAUGUUUUUCUUGUAUACAGUAUAUUAUGGGAUCCUGUUUCUUGAUCCAUUCUGUCAACCUAUUUAUUUUGAUAGGUGAAUUGAGGCCAUUUACAUUUAUAGAUAUAGCUGAUAUGCACUGGCUCGACCUUGCCAUGCUAUAUUCCAGUUGUUUGCUUUCUGCUUUUCCCCUUUGUUUAAUUGCUUGUCCUGCCUAGAGGUUUCUUUCUGUUGUUGUUCUGGAGAUCAUGGUCAUUUUUAUCUCUGUCUACUAUAUCUUUCAACACUCUUUCUAGGAUUGGUUUGAUGGACAUGAAUUUCUUCAGUAGUUCUUUGUCAUGGAGGUAUCUUGUUUCUCCAUUUUUCAAAUGCAAAUUUGAAUGAAAGUUUUUCUGGGUACACCAGUCUGGGUUGAAAGUUGUUUUCUUUCAGGACUUAAAAUAUCUCACUCCAAGCUCGUCUUGACUUGAGGGUUUGUGCUGAAAAAUCUGCUGUGAUUCGAAUAAGCUUUCCUUGAUAGGUGAGUUGUGUCUUUUCUCUAACAGCUUUUAGUGUUCUGUAUUUAUGCUGUAUGUCUGGGAUCUUAAUUAUUAUAUGUCUGGGUGAAGAUUUACAUUGAUUGUGAUUGUUUGGUGUUCUAUAUGCCUCACUUGUCUGCAUAUCAGAUUUUUCCCCAUGUUUGAGAAAUUUUCUGCUAUUAACUUCUGUGAAUAUUUUAGUUAUGUUAUUUGCAUUGACUCCUGCAUCUUCACUGAUGCUUAUUAUUCUUAUAUUUUUUUCUCUUGGCAUCAUCGUGAAGCUGCUGUAUUGUCAUUUCAUGCUGCUUUGUUGUUUUUAUAAUUUCUACCCUUUCGUGAUCACUAUCUGUGAUCCUGUCCUCAAGGUCUGAAAUUCUAUCCUCAGCUUCAUUUAAAUGGUUUUGCCAGCUUUCAAUAGAAUUUUUUUGUUUCUUGAAUAUCUCUUUGACUUUAUUUCAUGAAUUCUGCUUGUUUUCUAUAUUCAUUCAAGAUUUCAGUCAGUUUCCCAUGCUCCUGUAUUUUUUUUAUCUAUUUCUUCCCUACCUAUGUUGAGCAACUUAUUUACUAAGGUUGUUAUUUCUCUCUUUACAUGAGAAAUUACUUCUAAUUUGUCUUCCUCUAUAGCCUGAUGGAGUUGUUUUUUUAUUUCACUUGCUAUCUUUUCAGAGAUUUCCGGUGUGUUACUUUUGAAGUUCUCUAUUUCAGUGUCUCCUGUACUUCUGGUGGACAAGAUGUUUGAGAUUUUAUUUUGCUUUUUUGUUUUGCCAUUUUCCCCUUUUGGGUUAAUAUUUGCUCCUUCAGUACUACUAGUGUAACUGAUGGUAGUGUGUAUCUUGGUGUACUUUAAGGUUGAUGUUUGUGCAAUUGCUGGGUCCCACAAUGAAGGGAGGGCCAGUCACCUAAAUUCCCCCUGCAGGGCCUGUUGGAUGAAUUUUAUGUUCUUCCUAGGCUUACAAGCCCAGGAGUACUGAUGGAAAUCAACCCUUAGUUCCUGCUGUUAUUAUGUCUUCAGGUUGUUCAGAGUCACCAGAUCUUCCUGUUUAUAGUGUUUGUCUUGGCUGGGACCCUACUGUGUCUCUGGGUACCCCACCAGCCCCCUUAAUUUCCUCCAGAUUGAUAAAGGCCUUGUUGGCACCCUCAUCAAUGUACCUGAUGUUCUCUGUGUGGAGGAAAGAUUCACCCAUCCACUUGCCAAGCUUGCCUGUGGCCUACUUCUGGAAAGGGCUUUUCUCUUGCUCCUGUUUACCCACCAAAGGUGGCAAACUCCAUUCCUAUUUUAGGGGCAAACUCACCUUCCUGAUGGAAACCUGCUGAAUUCUUCUUACUGAGUCUCCCCUCAAAACUGCAUGAUUAAUCCACUGCAGUCCAAGGUUCUGGGGGUGCGGGGGGACCACAGAUCAACAGCAAUACUAGGUCUAGGAGGUAGAGGGUCCCUGAUGGCAGUGGUGGGACUGUGGGGGCACACAUCCCUGGUUGGAUUUCCUAGGUCCUGAGGUGGGUGGCCAGGACUGUGGACAGGAGGGGCUCAGUUCUGGCCCAGCCCCGUGUGUGCCGCUGGCUGGAGUUCCCGGGUCCCGCAAGGUCAUUUGCAGAGAUGGUGGGAGUCGCAGGAGGGGCUCAGGUCUAGCAAAGCCUCAUGUGUGCCGCUGGCUGGAGUUCUUGGGUUCCGUGAGUUCCCAUAUCUGUUUCUUUAAGAUCUUAUGUCUAAAUAUUUCAAGUAAAUGGAUGCCUUUGACACAUUCACAGUGGGGCCAUAAUUCGUAUGUCCUGCUGCCAGGCAGCUCGGAACCACCAGUGAUACAUGCAUGACUAUUCCAUUGGGCAGUUUGUACCACCCACUGAGACUGUCCCAUGCCACCAAAUGGGACAUCAUGCGCAUGCCACUCAUGGUGCAAGCCACUGGGGAAUGUAUGGAUUCCUGAAUUAAAACUAAUAGUCAGUUGAACUAUCAUAGUCCUUCUGAAAUGCAAAAACAGUGAAACAUUCACCCCCUCUGGAGACCAUAAAAUUAGAAGUAAUGGAAAUAUUAGCUAUGUUUACUGGAGAAGCUAACCAACAACCGAAGUGUUGCCAGCUAGUGCUCAUAAUCUGCAACACUUCUGCGUAGAGUCCAUUUAGCAGCCUCUUGACCAAAAUGAGCAGGCCUUGCAGUAUCAAAUUAGACCUGAGAUUAUCCUCUACCCUGUAUUGCCUUCAGUGCUUUAAGUCCAGGAGAAGCAACUGGAGAGCAUGGAUAUUGUGCAGCCUGUGUGAUGACUGUCACUCAGCUACCUCAGGAUUAUUCAUAAUCCUUCACUUAAUGAGGAUGGACAUCUUUGCAUCUCUGGUUAGUCUCAUUUCUUUCUCCUUCACCCACCCAACCCCAAGAGCCUUACUUUAUUAUGAGCAUGGAUGGUUAGUUUUAGCCUCUGGGCAUCAGUUACCUCUGUUUCUAUCAGACAUUCUUCUCUGUACCAAAAGAAAGAAAGAAAAAAAAUAUAUAUAUAUAUAUGAAUGAAGGUUUUCCUUAAACCAUCU